rnacentral:lncRNA from 1 species
CAUGAAUCAUGAGUGCUCUAAGACGUUUUCAGUUGAGUCACCAUACUAAAAUGUUACGUUUUUUAGAAUAACUCAGUAGGUAGGAGAAUAUUGUACAUUAUUAUUAACAGUAAGUUAUGUGAGUGGCAAAAUAGUAGUCAGUAAUAUCUGAGCACUAAGAUCUUUUCACUUUUUCAGUUCAAUCAUCGUACUAAAAAGUUACUUCUUUAUAGAGCAAGACAGUAGGUAGGAGAAUAUUGUACAUUAUUACAAGUUAAUAAUAAGUAAAUAAUUCACACAUCAAUGCAAAAGACAAUACAUAUCAUAAUUAAGUAAGAGUGGUUGCUCAAGUCAAAUUUGAGGUGUUUAUUUGUUUCUACUGUUGGUGACGACCAAGGAGGAACGAACCAGCUUACAAGGAGCCUAGCCACCGAGUGGGCCCAUGACAAGAUUCGUGUGAAUGCCAUCGCGCCAGGCUUCAUCACCAGCGACAUGACAAAUAGUGUAAGCAACAAUCAAUCACCAGAUGAAUAAUCCAAGUUAUCCUUAUGACCAACACUAAUUUGUUCUCCUCUGCUAAUCACCAAUCCAUAACUAUUUAUGUUUGCAACUGAACAGUUAGAGUUGGAGAUCCUAGAGGAGGAGAACUCCAAGACCCCGAUGCGGCGGAUUGGCGAGCCGGUGGAGGUCGCUGCGGCUGUGUCAUUCCUUUGUAUGCCAGCGGCCUCCUACAUUACCGGCCAGGUCAUUUCUGUCGAUGGUGGACGCACCAUUAGUGCUUAACUGAUGCUAUUUACCAUGCACACAUGUGGAAUGUACAUCUGGGAAAAUAAAUAUCGGCAACAUCCCAAAAAUGUAGUGGAAACUGGGUACUGCAAUUUAAGCCACCGAUCACAAGAGGUCUUCUCGAAAGUACAAUAUAUAAGAUCCAGCUUCCUUGAUCCUUAUCACUCGGAUCAUGGUCAUCGCCACCGGUAGAGGUAGUUUCUGUUUUAUUAUGCGUUGUAACUUGGCCUCCACCCUCCUCAUCAUCGAUCAACAUUUGUUCGAAGAAAUAGUCUGUCAGUCUGUCUCCAUCACUGAAAACUUAUGGCACUACAGCACAUGUACAAGAAGAACAGAUUAGGAGGCAAUUAAGACUCUUCGAGGCAGUUAUGUAUUAGGUGGAGAGAACUGUUUACUCAUGUACUUGCAUGGCAGAUGAAAUUUCACUGUCAAGUUGAAAUAAUCUACUAUACAAUUCUAAAUGUGUUUCUAGAAACCGGCUCUCCGACAUUAUCACUACGUGUCCGAUGCUCUGUAACUACGUGUUUACAAACUGCAUGCAUGCCCUGCGUGAAAGUCUGAACUUAACGGUCAGGUAGGCCAUAUAGGCUCGAUCAUAGGCACGAAGAAUCCACAUCUUGCCUGAGAGUUUACUCCCGCGUUUCAAAAAAAUUGCAAGCACAAGAAAGAAUUUAAUUUUUUUUAUCUCGCCGCCGGCUCAGCACGGUCCUGCCAGCCGGAGCCGGCCACUCCGUGACAAUAGGUUCAGUGCUGGAUAGAGACCAUCGAUACACCUUUGAAGUCAGUUUCAAAAAAUACACCUUUGAAGCCUGCAUUUGGAGCUGUGUCCGUGGACGCUCAUAUACCUUCUGCUGCUGCGUUCUGUCCUGUUCGACCGUGCCUUGGCUUGAUCUCCGUGGAAUCCAACAAUAUACAAUACAGUUUUGCAACAUUUAAGUUGUCUGAUUUUUAGUUUGAGAUAAGUUGUUUCCUCAGCAGUUUGACAUGAUUUGUGCUUUAAGAUUCGAAAAGGAUGAUGAAAAAAGGGAUAAAAUGAGAUUUAGAUACUAAUCCAAUGAGUCUGGUUGGUCAACUUAGAUCUAACCCUUUUGCUUCAAAAUCAACCAACAUAUAUAUAGCCACACACCCUAUUUGUUAGCAUUGGAACACUUGACAAAGUCUACAGCUUACUGACGGCCAGUUGGCAUUAUUUUGAUAAUCAACAACAGAGGGCUUUAAUUUAUGACUGCCGGAAGAAAGAGAACUGCAAGAGUACUGUUAAUCACAUGGAAAGUCUUCGGUAAUAAUCUAUUCUUUGUUUGUGUAACUAACAGUCUAACAGCUAGAGAUUAAUUAGUUUUGUAAAGUCAGUUGCAGAUUAAUUAUGAUUGCUUGAGCGUGUUCCCCUAGCUAACAAACCUAAGCGAGAUGCACACCCACUAGCUAUAUAUUUUACAAACCACAUGCGAAUGAUAUCUAGAAAAAUUAAUGAAGUCUUAAUCAAGGUCAUCUAGUACAAAAAGAUUAAGCGUUGGCUGGCUCAGGCCACUCACUGCCAAUUGGCCGGUCCUUGUCGUCGUACGUUUGGCACCGGCAUUACAUAUAACUUCCAUACACCAUUGAACCAUAUACAUCCAAGGCAAAUUAGUUGUCUGGCAAACAGAUAGAGAUCGAUCCAUGGCAGCUACCGGCGCGAGCAGGGAGGAACGGUGGAGCCUGGCAGGCGCGACGGCGGGUCGGCGCUCGUCACCGACGGCAGCAAAGGGAUCGGGUAACGUAUAUAUACUGUAUAUACGUACGACGUAUGCAAUCACAUAGGCAUCUUUCAUGCACGUCUAGCUAAAUUAAUCGUGUGCUUGCUGGAUGAUUGUUGGAUGGAUCUGCAGGCAUGCGAUCGUGGAGGAGCUGGCGGGGUUCGGGGCGCGUGUGCACACGUGCUCCCGGAACGCGGCGGAGCUCGAGGAGCGCCGCCGGGCGUGGGAGGAGAAGGGGCUUCAGGUCACCGUCUCCGUUUGCGACGUCUCCUCGCGCGACGACAGGGAGAAGCUCAUGGAGACGGUGAAGCAUACCUUCGUCGGCAAGCUCGACAUACUGGUAACUAAACUGAAUAAUAUACCCAUGUACAUGUGCAUCAAUUGAUGCAGAGAAAAACUACCGUUAUCCUUUUUCAUGUGCAUGUGUGUGUCCUAUGUUUGUAAAAGAAAUUAUGUUUUGUUAGGCACUAUUCAUGCAUAAAUUUUGGUAGGCACUAGUUAAUUGACCAUUUGUCUAAGAGGAAACAAACACAUUAUUAGGCUGCCUCUAGUUAGGAUAAGCGUGUGAAAGUGGCCUACACACAUUUAGAUAGAAUCAUUAGCAAUAAAAGAAGUUCGAAAACAUAUGAAACACAACUAUGUAGGCCAAUGUGCCUAGCUAAUUUCACAUCCAGGCUGACCUAAAUAAAUGCCGACAAUCGGCCUAGCGAAAGAAAUACUGUAAACUUAAGAUUCAAACAGUGGCCCAAAUAUCUUUCAAAGAAGAGUAAAUUUCACAAAACCACAUUUCUUGGGACUAGGGUUUCAGGCCACAGUUAUGACUAAUAGUCUCACAAAACCACACUUUUUCGGAUAGAUCUUCUCAAAGAACCCAAAUCAGGUAAUUAAGAUCGUUUGAUGGUGUUUCUGACAAGUGGGACCCACAUGUACAUUAUUAUUAACAGUAAGUUAUGUAAGUUCCAAAUUAAUAAUAAGUAAUUCACAUCAGGGCAAAAGACAAUACAAAUCAUAAUUAACUAAGAAUCUCUAGUCAAAUUAAAUUUGAGGUGUUUAUUUGUUUCUGUUGUUGCUGACGACGAAGGAGGAAUGAACCAACUUACAAGGAGCCUAGCCACCGAGUGGGCCCAUGACAAGAUUCGUGCGAAUGCCAUCGCCCCAGGCUUCACAAACAGUGACAUGAUAAGACAUGUAAGCAACUAUCAAUAACCACAUGAAUGAUCCAAGUUAUCCUUAUGAACAACACUAAUUUGUUUGUUUCUGCUAGUAAACCACCGAUCAAUAAUUAUCUAUGCUUGUAUUGUACAGAUAGACCCGGAGGUCCAAGAGCAGGAGUACUCCUGGAUCCCAAUGCGGAAGAACGGCGAGUCGGUAGAGAUCGCUGCGGCGGUGUCAUUCCUCUGUAUGUCAGCAGCCUCCUACAUUACCGGCCAAGUCAUCACCGUCGAUGGUGGAUGCACCAUCAGUGCAUAACCCAUGCUAUUUACCAUGCACACGUGUGAAAUGUAUAUUGGAUAGUACAAUUUAAGCCAGAUCGCAAGUGGGCUACUACCAUAGAGAGGCUUAUCAGUAACGGUCGAAAAACAACAUCAGUAACGGUCGGGGCCGCCGUUACUAACUUCCUGUUACUGAUGAUGGGUUUCAUCAGUAACGGUCGCUCCAACCGUUACUGAUGUACCUAUCAUCAGUAAUGGUCGCUGCGCCGAUGUACCAUCAUCAGUGGCGGGCGGCACGACCUGACCGUUACUGAUGAAGGUCACGUUUCCGCACCCGUCACUGAUGAUAUGUACAUCAGUAACGGUCGCUUUGCCACAUCAGUGUCGGGCGAGCGACCGACACUGAUACAUUUUACGUAAUUAAAAAAUUAAUUAAAACCAUAGAAAAAUAUAUAUUUGAAUACACAACACAGCAUAGAAAAAUACACAGCCACAUCAUUUAAAGCAUACAAAUGUAUAGAAAGCCGCAUCAUUUAAAAUAUAUAAAGAAUACAAAUGUAUCUCACUUCACGACAUUGAUUACAAAGUGUCAAAAUCUCAUAGCAAAAUCAAGUUUUAAGCUAUUGUUGUGGGUGAACCCUAGUCAUCACUUGUUCCACGCGUUCGUAGAAGUCCCCACUAGGCUUGAUGACCUCAUUGUUGAUGAGAUGGGCGAACUCCCUUUGAAUGUUAUACACGACCCAUUUAGGUCAGUGUGCCAUUGUCAUUCGGGGCUGCCAGUACUCUUCCAUCGCUGCGAUUGACCCCUUCCACUCAGGCUUGAACAUGCUGGCAUUCUCCAUAAGGAUGUGACAGCAGUAGUAGCCACAGUACACACUGCCGGCCGGCUGUUGCUGGCAAGAGAACCUGUGGUUGUGGUGAGGCUCGUCUUUAUAGCCUUUACCAGCUAGUUUUCCCUUGGUCGCAACUUUCCAGGCAGUGUUAAUGAGUGAUUUGAUGGGUUUCCAGUAGCGACCUCGAACACCUUUCUUCGGAAGUAGUGAAUCGAAAUAGUACACCGCGGACAAAGGCAAACAAAUGAGUAGUGUCACCCAAUGGUCUCUGUUUUCAAAAGAAACAAACUUUAGUAUCUAAGGGUGUAUAAGAAAGACUGAGUCCCGUCAGUGCUGAGACUGAGCCUGAGCCUCAGGUUUCUGGGCUCUGCCCCGAAAUCUGGAAAUGCCGUGUCGAAGUUCCUCCACUGAGUCCCAUCGGCAAGGUGUCUUAGGACCCCAGCUUCCUCCACACGGUAGUGCCCGUCAGGAUCGAAUGCUGCCUGCGCCGGAUCGCGAUGGACGAGAUACCUCGCGUCCUUAACGUUCUACAUCCAACGCUCAACUCGGCCACCUGCCGUAAGAUACCGGACAGUCUUUGUCGGCCUGCCCUUCAUCACUUCUUUCCCAUCGUCUUCGCCAGCUCUGGCGUUUUUCUUCUUCUAUCUCGAUGCACCGCAUAUGUGGCAGCUCUCAUGGUUCUCGAACUCUCCAAUGUAUACCAUGCAGUCGUUUUGACAUGAAUGAUGUUUCACACAAUCUAAUCCAAGCGGGCAUGUAAUCUUCUUCGCCUCGUACGUGCUCUUGGGCAACUUGUUUGGCUGUGGAAAAACCGAAGCAAGGUAACUUAACAAGUCCGGGAAGCCCUUGUCUGACCAGCAUGAUGUUGCCUUCAGUCUCAAAAGUUCGAGCGUUACUUCGAGCACGUUGUUUUCUUCGCCGGCUCCAUCAUACAAGGGUGUAUUUGCGUCCUCCAACAAUUUUUGAACUGAGCAGACUCUGCCUCAUCUUCGGGGUCCUCCAGCUGGUCCCGUAGGUACAGGUCAUCUAGCAUUUCGGCAAUUCUGCCACGUGGAGCUCCUUCACCUUCCACAGUAGCCUCCUCGUCGACCCUUGUUUCUUCCUCAGAAUCCUUUGCCAGAUCAUAGCGCAGGACAUCAUCAUCUUCGCUACCGCUACCGACAUCAACCGCAUCCUCCCCGUGACAAGUCCAGCGAGAAUAACCUUUCACAAAACCCGAUGCCAGUACGUGCAUCUGAACAUCUUCAGGUUUCAUCAUGCAUGUGUUUCCACAUUUGAGACAUGAACAACACAUCAUCACAAGUCAUUUUCGUUCCAUAUCACCUUUCGCGACUCCAAAAAAGACCGUCCAUUCAGUUACCCAUCGAGCAUUGAUUCUUUCCGUGGCGUACAUCCAAGAACGGUCAUUCGAUCUACAACACAAUACAAAAGAAAACACAAAGCAAAAUAGUUAGCCGGCCUAAUCAUUAACAAGGGGAUUAAGAUGUUAAUUAACCGGGGCUAACUAAAAAAUUGAAAUUAGAGACAAUCGGAGAGAAAUUGGAGGCCGGCGAGAAAGAUCGGGAGGGGGAGAGAGCUCGCAAGGGAGAGGGAAGCUCCGGGCGUCACGAGGAGGCCGCAUUUUGGCCGGCGGCCGGAUCUCCAAAAUUUGAAAUUGGGGAACUUCGGAGAGAAAUUGGAGGCCGGCGAGAUAGAUCAGGAGGGAGAGAGAUCUCGCAAGGGAGAGGGAAGUUUCAGGCUCGAAGAUUGGAGCUCGCCGGAGAUGGGCCGCCGCCGGCCAUGGAGAUGGGCGCCGCCGGCCGGGGGAGAGAGGAGGAAGGGAGAGGGAGGAGGAGGGGCUACCUGGGCUCACCGGCGGCCAUGGCGGCCGAUUUGGGCAGGGCUUUGUCGUCGGCGAGGAAGAAGGUCCGCAGCUGGUCCGUUACGACGCGCAACGCGACCAGCUGCGGCCCUGUCCUGCGUAUUUAAACCGCGACCCUCAUCAGUGGCGGUCGUGACUUGGGCGACUGUUACUGAUAAUAGGGGGUACAUCAGUAAUUGUCGCUUUAACUCGGCCCGUUACUUAUGUACCACACAUGAUCAGUAACGGUCGGGCCAAGAGCGACCGUUACUGAUAUGUACCACACAUCAGUGGCGGGCACGUUAGGGCGACCGUUACUGAUGCGUGGUUCAUCAGUAACGGUCGUCUCUUAACCGACCGCCACUGAUGUCUCUUGCGAGAAAUGAUGGUCGCGCGACCGCCACUGAUGUAUGGCUGGGCGGGUACGGACAGACCUUGCUCUGUUCAUCAGUAAUGGUCGAGGCCGUGACCGACACUGAUGUUGUUCAUCAGUAACUGAUGUGCCGUGAGAUAUAGCCCGUUUUGUAAUAGUGACUUCUCAAAAGAUAAAAAUAAGUCCAGCUUUCCUUGGUCCUUAUAACUUGGAUCAUGGUUAUCGCUGGUAGUUUCUGUUUUAUAUAUUAUGGACGACGGCACCUCAUUAAUUUUGUGCUGUGCCUAGCCUUGGCCUCCACCCUCGUCAUCGUCGCUGUUGUUCUAAGAUAUAGUCUAUGUCAUCACUAAAAAAAGAACAUAUGGCAGUGCAGCACAUGUGCAAGAACAGAUUAGGAAGCAAUUAAGACUCUUUGAGGCAAUUGUAGGUGUAGAGAGCUGCUGUUUCUUUUCUAUACUUGGCAGAUAAAAUUUGACUGAAGUUGAAAUAAUUUACAUAUUCCGAGAAACCAGCUCUCCGUCGUUACCGUUAAUUAAGUUUCCGAGGCUCUGACUACGUGUUUAUAAACUGCCCUCCAUGAGAGGCUAAUUUUUUUUUUGAGGUUAAAGGCUGUAGGCAAAAAUGCCUACAGUCAUAUAUUAAAAAAAAAGAGUAACUGUACAAGUGGUAAAAAAGAAAAGAAAAAACUAGUGGGAGCUAUCUGAAAAUUUGGUUGUUGGCUCUCAGGAUGUGGUUCAUUCACAACCAACACUAACCACCAAACAACUGGCUUUCCCAUGAUAUUCCCAUGACCUGUUCUGAAAAUUGUUUUUUGGACACGGACAGACGUUUGUCUCCUGGGAUCAAUGGAUCCUGGUAUUUUCAAGAGUUUAGAAGUAUUUAAGAAGUUUUGAAAAUGUUCCCGUUUAUACAUGUAUACUUCAUCAUAAAGAAGCACGGUAGUUUUUGUAUGGAGAAAAAUGUUGAUAUAUAUGUGUGUCUGUGAUUUAUAUUAGCAAAUAUUUGUUUUAUUUUGUCAGGCCCAUAAACGGAAACAUUAUUCAUGAAUUUUUUUUUGUGGGUACAUAGUGAGCAUCUAAAUGUACAUAUAUAAAGAGAACUCAGAAAUGUUUUCAAAAGUUUGGAUAUACGAUAGUAGCACCAACUGAAGGUAGACAUCCGGGCCAAAUAGUGGCUCAAAACAAGUCGGGCUCAGCCCGCUAGGAAAAAAGCCCAAACCAAGCUUAAUAUUCUAACUCGGGUCUGUCCAGCUCGACAAGCCGCGUCGAGUUGGGCCCAGAAAGAACUAGCCCAUCCUCCUUGGCCCAGCAAUCCAACAGUCUGGGGGUUUUGGAAGCACGAAAAAUUACAAAUUUUCACAGGAGACCGAGUCCAGCUAGCUCGGUCCUUGGAGUUAUCGGAUUAAUUAGCGGACUCCAGCUACUCUAAUAACAUACAUACGUUAUGCUUAUGCAUAUGCCGCCGAGAUGGCCGGCUGCUUUUGGAGGCGAUCCUAUAACUUUUGUUGCUGCAUUCUGUUCUGUUCGAUGGUUGCUUGGCGGAUCGGCCGCCCUCCAUGGAAUCCAGCUAUAUAUGAUAAUCUCCAAGGCCCAAUUACACAUCUUGCAGCUAAUACUGGGAGAAGCACUACGAGUGCGCUAGAGAGAGAUGGUGGCAGGCGGCGGCGGCGGCUUGAGCAGGGAGGGGCGGUGGAGCCUGGCCGGCGCGGCAGCGCUCGUCACCGGCGGCAGCAAAGGGAUCGGGCAUGCAAUCGUGGAGGAGCUGGCCGGGUUCGGGGCCCGUGUGCACACCUGCUCCCGGAACGCGGCGGAGCUCGAGGAGUGCCGCCGCCGGUGGGAGGAGAAGGGGCUCGCCGUCACCGUCUCCGUAUGCGACGUCUCGAUACGUGCCGAGAGGGAGAAGCUCAUGGAGACCGUCAAGAACUUUCAGGGGAAGCUUGACAUUCUGGUACUGAAUAUUUUUUUUUCUAUUGCUAGCCAGACUAGUACGGUGUCUCACAGAGUUGUGGAAAAUGGUAUUUAACCAAUUCUAAUUAAUUUCUUAACUCGAACGACGUGUUAAUUUGUCCGUCAUAUUUCGCGUAGGUAAACAACGCGGGGCAAUUGCUUUUCAAUGCGCCUACGGAUUGGACCUCGGAGGAGUACUCACAUCUCAUGGCAACUAACUUGGAAUCGAGUUUCCACCUUAGCCAGCUUGCGCACCCGCUCCUCCUUUGCUCGCCCAUCGCCGGAGGGGCUAGCGUCGUCAACAUCUCAUCCAUUGGAGGAUUGGUCGGUUUCCCAGGCAUUGCGGUUUAUGCCGUCACCAAAGGUACACAUACAUAUUCACACUUUUCAAGAUCGCAAUAGAUUUAUUAAUUAUGCAUGUUAAAAUGACCUUAUUAGAUAUUUGAGGUGUUUAUUUAUUUUCUAUUGUUGGUAAACCAUGAAGGAGCAAUGAACCAGCUUACAAGGAGCUUGGCCACUGAGUGGGCCCAUGACAAGAUUCGUGUGAAUGCCAUCGCCCCAG